rnacentral:rRNA from 1 species
GACGAACGCUGGCGGCGUGCUUAACACAUGCAAGUCGAACGGUGAUGCUCCAGCUUGCUGGAGUGGAUCAGUGGCGAACGGGUGAGUAACACGUGAGCAACCUGCCCCAGACUCUGGAAUAAGCGCUGGAAACGGCGUCUAAUACUGGAUACGAAACUGGCCCGCAUGGGCAUGGUUUGGAAAGUUUUUCGGUUUGGGAUGGGCUCGCGGCCUAUCAGCUUGUUGGUGAGGUAAUGGCUCACCAAGGCGACGACGGGUAGCCGGCCUGAGAGGGCGACCGGCCACAGGGGAACUGAGACACGCCCCACCCCCCUAGGGGGGGCAGAGGGGGGGAUUAUUGCAAAGGGGGCGAAAGCGGAAGGCAGCGACCCGGGGGGGGGGAGGACGCCUUUGGGUUUGAACCCCUUUUUCAGCGGGAAAGAAGCGAAAGGGCGGUUCCCGGCAGAAGAAGCACCGCUAAACUACGU